GCUAUUUCUUCUAAGCCUUAAGUUGAACAUCUCUGAAAACUUGACCCAUUUUAGGGACAACUCUGAAACAGAAGGAAGACAGGCUGGUCACCCCCCAUCUUGGGCUAGUUUUCUUCUAUAACAGGAAAUAUUGCCCCUCAUCAGAUGGAUUACAGAAGCGAUUGAUAAUAACCGGUUUGCAUAGUUGUAGUAAGCUCCUUGGAGACUCAAAAAGUAUGGAUUCCUUCACGAAAUUUUGAAUUAGCAGCACCACACAGAUAUUAACAUCCUCAACUUUUCAUAAUAUUCUGACUGGAAGGAGUUGGAGGGAACACAAAAGCUGAGAAGUCUCUUUCUCUAGGUAAGGAAAUUGAGUUACAGAGAGAUCAAAUAACUUGCCUUCUGUCACAUAACAGG